CCGACCUUAGCUCAGUUGGUAGAGCGGAGGACUGUAGUUGGUUCUAACAGACAUCCUUAGGUCGCUGGUUCGAAUCCGGCAGGUCGGA
rnacentral:tRNA from 2 species